rnacentral:rRNA from 1 species
AGUCGAACGGAAAGGCCCUGCUUUUGUGGGGUGCUCGAGUGGCGAACGGGUGAGUAACACGUGAGUAACCUGCCCUUGACUUUGGGAUAACUUCAGGAAACUGGGGCUAAUACCGGAUAGGAGCUCCUGCUGCAUGGUGGGGGUUGGAAAGUUUCGGCGGUUGGGGAUGGACUCGCGGCUUAUCAGCUUGUUGGUGGGGUAGUGGCUUACCAAGGCUUUGACGGGUAGCCGGCCUGAGAGGGUGACCGGCCACAUUGGGACUGAGAUACGGCCCAGACUCCUACGGGAGGCAGCAGUGGGGAAUAUUGCACAAUGGGCGGAAGCCUGAUGCAGCAACGCCGCGUGCGGGAUGACGGCCUUCGGGUUGUAAACCGCUUUCGCCUGUGACGAAGCGUGAGUGACGGUAAUGGGUAAAGAAGCACCGGCUAACUACGUGCCAGCAGCCGCGGUGAUACGUAGGGUGCGAGCGUUGUCCGGAUUUAUUGGGCGUAAAGGGCUCGUAGGUGGUUGAUCGCGUCGGAAGUGUAAUCUUGGGGCUUAACCCUGAGCGUGCUUUCGAUACGGGUUGACUUGAGGAAGGUAGGGGAGAAUGGAAUUCCUGGUGGAGCGGUGGAAUGCGCAGAUAUCAGGAGGAACACCAGUGGCGAAGGCGGUUCUCUGGGCCUUUCCUGACGCUGAGGAGCGAAAGCGUGGGGAGCGAACAGGCUUAGAUACCCCGGUAGUCCA